AGGUCACCACGGAGGCUUUGGCGGUGGCUUCGGUGGAGGGUUCGGACACGGGGGCUUUGGAGGCGGCUUCGGCGGGGGAUACGGACGAUGAUCCGGCAAUUCCGUUUCCGAAAGCGUUGUCGCGGAUAAGAAAAUCCAUCGAAGUCGAAGGCGCUCAUUCGUACAAGGCUCCGUGAGAGACCGGGAGAAGCGGUCCGUUUCGUCUGGAGUCCGACUUCUCUAGGGAUCAUUCGGAUAAAAAUGAAAUACGAGGCUAGUUUUAUCUGUGGUUAUGUUUCAUGUUUUAUGUUACCCUCCUUUCUCAUUGAUUUUAUUUUUCCUUUUUUUUUUUAUUGCCUCCUUGUAUUUCUAUUAUUUUCAUCUGUGGUUAUGUUUCGUGUUUUAUGUUACCCUCCCUUCUCAU